UGAGGAAUAUUGGACAAUGGGCGCAAGCCUGAUCCAGCCAUGCCGCGUGCAGGAUGACGGUCCUAUGGAUUGUAAACUGCUUUUGUACAGGAAGAAACAGUUCUACGUGUAGAACCUUGACGGUACUGUAAGAAUAAGGAUCGGCUAACUCCGUGCCAGCAGCCGCGGUAAUACGGAGGAUCCAAGCGUUAUCCGGGAAUCAUUGGGUUUAAAGGGUCCGUAGGCGGUUAGAUAAGUCAGUGGUGAAAGCCCAUCGCUCAACGGUGGAACGGCCAUUGAUACUGUCUGACUUGAAUUAUUAGGAAGUAACUAGAAUAUGUAGUGUAGCGGUGAAAUGCUUAGAGAUUACAUGGAAUACCAAUUGCGAAGGCAGGUUACUACUAAUGGAUUGACGCUGAUGGACGAAAGCGUGGGUAGCGAACAGGAUUAGAUACCCUUGUAGUCCCUGAGCGGGCUGGCAAGGCGCAU
rnacentral:rRNA from 1 species